ensembl:lncRNA
CCCCACUUCUACUUCAUUAUGAAGAUUCCUACCCUGCCCCUUUAAAGGAAAGUGAAGCAGACAUCUCAGCCAGGCCUUCUUCCAGCCAUUAGAAACCUGGGCUCAGAGCCUGGGCCAUCUCAAUGGUUUUGCAGGUACCUCCUACACAGAAACUCUGCGUCACUUAGGUAACAGAGCGGGUCAGAGGAAUAACAAAGGAGUGAAAUCUGCCUCUCCAGAGCCCUAGCCCUGACACUGAUUUGAAUUUGAUUCAAAUCUGCCUUUUCUUUGGCUCCUUCCUGGUUGUUCCUAAAUGUCUGGAGCUAGAAGGUUUGCUGGGAAUACCCCAUUAAGGAGCAGGCAUUGUGGGGAUGGGUGGGGGCCACUGCCCACUGGAAAGAAAAAGCAGAGGAACCAGGAAAACCAGGCGAUGCUGGCAUCCUUGCUGGAGUGCACAUUUUUGUGGAACAAGCCCCCUUGCCAAAUGAUGCUUUAAAGCCCUUUCAGCUCACGUACUUAAAGAAGAAAAUAAUUAAACUCUUCUGUCAAGGAUCACCUGGCUCUCCACAUCCCCUCACUUAGGAUGUUUUGUUCCCACUGGAGCAUGUGAUUGGAAAACAAAGUUGCUGCACAGAAUCUCAAACUCCAGGUUUCACUCGAGUUGGAGCUACUGAAAUUCAAGAAUGAGAAUGAAGCACCACUUUGUUCUGCCCACUGUGGCCCAGAGGAAGCAGAGACAGCCACCUUCAUCACUGUUCACCCAGACUUUACAACCUUCUGCCCUUGCUUCUGGCUGUUUUCCCGCCACUGCCAGCUUAAGAUGGCUGGUUCCUGGCAUGAGAAGCCUGGCUUAGGCCUUAGCAUCCCAGGGCUAAUCUGUCUGGGCUCCAAUGCCCUGUCUGUCUGUCCAUCUGCCCUCUACUCAGCUCCAGGAUGGCCACUGGGAACUCAACAUCCAACACUCUGGGGCCUUUUUGUGAAUGGAGCUUAGGUCUCACUGAAGAGAUGGGGACUAGGCGUGCUGACAUCCCCCAUGGGAAUGCCCUGGUCAGACCCAGGCUUCCUUCCUCCAGGCUGAUGCAGGAUGGCAUGACCAUGUCCACCACACUUCCUCACGGCACUGCCCCGGGCCGAUGGUCCUACUCUGUGCCAGUGUGCCUCCCUUGACACAUAGCUUCAAGCGGAUGAUAUGUCUUGCUUGCAGGAAGAUUAGGAACAUUCACAUUCUUGGAAAAGCAGAGGAUGUGAGGGUUAAAGUUCCUUGAAGUGCAGGCCAGAGAAAGACUUCUGCAUUUCCAGACAUUGUCUCAGAGAACUGUAAUCCUCCAGGGUCUACCUGACUAUAACUGAUGUAGCUCCUUGGAGCAGAUGUGUGUUUGUGUGCAUGUAUAAAUCAACUCCACAUGUCUACUUGCAUUCAAUUCAUUUCCCUGAACCAGCCAACUAUAGCUGACUCUCUUGAGUAUCUACUGUGUACCAUGGACUAUACUAGAUGCUUUACCUGCAGUUCCUUGUUUUAUCUCUACAAUGACUCUAAGGUGGGGAGAGACUGUUAUUGUCCUCAUUUUCUAAAAGAAACUAUAGCACAGGGAGACUCAGUUACUUGUCAAAGAUCAAGAAGUAGUAAGUGGGCAGCAUGACUUCUAACUAAGGCAGCAGUCUGACCACUGAGCCUCAGCUGGGAACCACCAUAGUGUGUCUGUGUGUCUGUGUGCUUACAUGCACACAUGCCCUUUCGCAUAUGGGCUGCCCCAUUUGUGAAGCUGAGAGAGUGCAGAGGAAAAUGUUGGGAGGACCUUCCCCAGGAGGGUUUCUAUGCAGCAAAGGAAGUGGUGUCAGGUAUAUAGAUGAGGUCCCAGAAGCCCACCUGAAAAUUCCAACUGUUAGAAGAAUGGGGUGGGUGUUAGGGAUCUACUGCUUUAAAUCCUCUUCUACUCUGGAAGAGCAGAGCCUUGGAUGGGCAGGAUGAGGCAGAGCCUAAGUUUCCCAGGGAGAGUUCAUGAGUGAGUAGAAUUGAAAACAAUAAGCCGGAUGUUUCCUGACCCCGCCCAUCCUGUGCCGGGCCUUCAUCCUUCAGCCUCAUUGAUGCUUCAUCCUGAAGGUCCAAGUUGCAGAGUCACCCAUGGAGGAAUGGGCUGCUCUCAUAGAAC